UGGGGAAUUUUGCGCAAUGGGCGAAAGCCUGACGCAGCAACGCCGCGUGCGGGAUGAAGGCCUUCGGGUUGUAAACCGCUUUCAGCAGGGAUGAAACUGACAGUACCUGCAGAAGAAGCCCCGGCUAACUACGUGCCAGCAGCCGCGGUAAUACGUAGGGGGCAAGCGUUAUCCGGAUUCAUUGGGCGUAAAGAGCGCGUAGGCGGAUUGUUAAGCGCGAUGUGAAAACUGGGGGCUCAACCCGCAGCCUGCAUCGUGAACUGGCAGUCUUGAGUCUGGUAGAGGAGUGUGGAAUUCCCAGUGUAGCGGUGAAAUGCGCAGAUAUUGGGAGGAACACCAGUGGCGAAGGCGGCACUCUGGGCCACGACUGACGCUGAGGCGCGAAAGCUAGGGGAGCAAA
rnacentral:rRNA from 1 species